rnacentral:lncRNA from 1 species
GAUGUGAUCCAGCAAACUGUCACUUUCAGCCUUGCAUUGGUUCAAUAGGUCUGACAAAUGUGCAUGUGGUGUUCUUUCUGUUCCAGUGUGAACAUCUGUGGGAUCCAUCUGGUGCAAACUUUGCAAUACUGCAACAUUGCCACCAUCAUUUCCAACACACUGAAGUCAGCAUUUCUUUCCUUAGAGUUCCCUGGUCAUAAUCUGCCACAUUGCUUGGAUGAGCAGAUCAAAACACUCUUCAUUUUGUGGUGACAGCAGUGCACAGACAUCCAGAACAUGGCUUGUCUUUCACGUCACCAUUACCACUGUUGAAAUGCACCACUCAACACCUCACGGUGCUCAUGUCCACUGUUUGGUCUUCAAAAACAUUCAGCAAAUGUCAAUGAAUGUCAGAUCCCCUGGCACUUUACAAGCAGCACAGACAUAAUAAAACAACAAAGUAAGGCACACAAACACCUACAGCGAAACAUCAACCAUCAAAUUCCAGUGCCCAGAUACAUCUCACCAAUAGUCUCCAACUUAAACAAAUGAAACCGGACUAGUCCUACAGAAGCAAACAUUGCUUUAACUUCAUAACCAAAGCAGGAGGAAAUAGGGAGAUAACGGCAAAC